UGAAGAAUUUGGAAGAGCAAGUGCCCCACUUCUACGUAUUCAUCUCUUUCCACUGAUGUGCGGUGCUCCCUCUGUAAUAAAUCAAGUGUCAGUGGACCCAACGAUGGGUGCCUGAAGUAGCUAUAUCUCUUUACUGAGCUACAACUUGGAUCAGACAAAAAUGGACCGUCCUUGAUGAUGUUCAGAAGCAAAGAAAGCUUUGAGGAGAAAGAUAUGGUUCUUAAGUCCUAAAGGGGCAAGCCCAUACCCAGAGGAGAUUCCUAGUGACAGAGCCCUGUGAGUAUUCCUGUAGAAGUCUGUGUCCACCAGGCUUCCUUGUUUUUAUUACAAGAUAUGAGUCGUUGGAGGAAACAAACUAAGAUCGAAAAGCCUCGUGAUAAUUAGGAACCUGAGUGGCAGAGGAGAGUGGCAGAUGCUGACAGGGAAGAUGCAGGUUAUAGAGGAAAUUCACCCAAUCCAAGGGCAUGCAGACCUGGCUGACGCGACUCUUUGGGCUUCAGAUUUACUGUUCAGUCCUGAUAGGAUCCUUGAGCAGUCACGAAUCCUACUUUACUAGCAACAACUGAGAGCAAAGGGCACACAGUCACAGAAACACUGCAGGGUGGAGAGGCUGGAAUAGCAUACAGGACAUUCACAAGCGGUUAUGGAAGAAAAAUGGCAGGGUCUCUGAGAGCAAGUUGCAAGAUUUUCAGACCUUCACUGAAUCUUCUACUGACAUUUAGCUUAAUCUUGACAAGCAUAUCGGAGUACUGCAAUGUGUUAAUGAUCAAGGAAUAUGUUAAAUAAUGACAUGUCUACUGCAGGAAAUUAUGGGAUAAUGCAAACAGCGUGCACUGGAUCAACCAUUAUCUAUGCCUAGUACUUAGUACUAUGACUAAAAGUGACUGCUUUUGGCAUCAAAAAUUGAAGCAUUCCUCUGGCUCAACUUGUUCUUUGCACAUCUUCCUUUACUGUGACAAGCACUGAGAGUUAAGUUGCUGUCUUCAAUACAGUCUGUUGAUUAUUAAUUUCAGAUACAACAUAUGCUUAAGAUGGCUCCCUGAAGUUGUUCUGCCUGGCAUCUGGGACUUGCUCAAUAUGCCAGUUUGUGAGCAUGAUUCGAUGUUUAAUAUUUAUUCAAUGUUUAAUUUUAUCAAAUAUUUUUGCAGCGUCCCCUCUGUUUAGUAGUCUAGUCACUACAUCUAUACAUAUUAGAUGUCAAUGACAGUCUACUUUUCUUUUCUCUCCAAAACUGUUUUACAUUAUCCCAAACAAAUAACAUCUUCUUGUGGAUCUUCCUCAUAUGUAAAAAUGGAGAUUUUAAAAAUUGGCAAAUAAAACUUCUACCUUCAGAAUUCUUCCUUUCUU